rnacentral:rRNA from 1 species
UACGGAGGGGACUAGCGUUGUUCGGAAUUACUGGGCGUAAAGCGCACGUAGGCGGAUUUGUAAGUCAGGGGUGAAAUCCCAGGGCUUAACCCUGGAAUUGCUUUUGAAACUGCAAAUCUAGAAUCUUGAAGAGGUUAGCAGAAUUCCGAGUGUAGAGGUGAAAUUCGCAGAUAUUCGGAGGAAUACCAAUGGCGUAGGCAGCUAACUGGGCAAGUAUUGACGCUGAGGCACGAAAGCGUGGGGAGCAAACAGG